rnacentral:rRNA from 1 species
UACGGGGGGGGCAAGCGUUGUUCGGAUUUACUGGGCGUAAAGGGCGCGUAGGCGGCGUAGCAAGUCACUUGUGAAAUCUCCGGGCUUAACCCGGAAACUGCCAUUGAUACUAUUUGUCUUGAAUACUGUGGAGGUCAGCGGAAUAUGUCAUGUAGCGGUGAAAUGCGUAGAUAUGACAUAGAACACCAAUUGCGAAGGCAGCUGGCUACACAAAUAUUGACACUGAGGCACGAAAGCGUGGGGAGCAAACAGG